GAUGAACGCUGGCGGCGUGCCUAAUACAUGCAAGUCGAGCGAACAGACGAGGAGCUUGCUCCUCUGACGUUAGCGGCGGACGGGUGAGUAACACGUGGAUAACCUACCUAUAAGACUGGGAUAACUUCGGGAAACCGGAGCUAAUACCGGAUAAUAUAUUGAACCGCAUGGUUCAAUAGUGAAAGACGGUUUUGCUGUCACUUAUAGAUGGAUCCGCGCCGCAUUAGCUAGUUGGUAAGGUAACGGCUUACCAAGGCAACGAUGCGUAGCCGACCUGAGAGGGUGACCGGCCACAUUAGAACUGAGACACGGUCCAGAGUCCUACGGGAGUCACAAGUAGGGAAGAUUCCGCAAUGGGCGAAAGCCUGACGGAGCAACGACGCGUGAGUGAUGAAGGUCUUAGGAUCUUAAAACUCUGUUAUUAGAGAAGAACAAAUGUGUAAGUAACUAUGCACGUCUUGACGGUAACUAAUCAGAAAGCCACGGCUAACUACGUG
rnacentral:rRNA from 1 species